CGGCACUGGGCUAGAGAGGUCGAGCGCGGCGUCUUGAGCCGCUGGCGGGAGGCUGCUGCUUCCCCGCCUGCAUCAGUGCGGGUCCCGUGGACUCCUCGCCCCCGUCCCCGCGAGCUCGGGGCUCCACAUCAAGGAAAUCCUCAGCCCGGGAGUGGCUUCCCCAGAAACAGCAGCCCCAAGCCUCCGAGAGUCAGUCGGAGAAAAGGACACACUCAGGCGCCCUGCGACAGGGAUGCCCGUCCGACCUACAAGGAACGCCUCGUAAACCGGGGUGCAUGGGAGACCACGGAAAUAACACGUUCUCGCUGUUUCCAAGCUUUGGGAUAGGCAUCUCGACCCUCGCUCUCUACCCACGUUUCCCCCCCAAAUCCUGGAGAGGGAACCAGAACCAGCGCCCCGCUGCGGGGCGGGCCGGCCAGCGCACCUCCUGGGGGUGAGGCCUGUGGCGUCCCCAUCUCGCGGCGACCAAUCUCUUUCUAGACGCGCGCCUGCCACCGCUGGGCGACGGCGGAGGUGGGGAAGACAGCAGCCUCUCGGCUAGCUCCGGCCUCCCGGGGCUUCUGGGUUUGGAGAGUUUGGGGAGCGGAGACACCUCCCGAGGCUCCUCCGCGUUGGACCCUAUUUGCGAGGGCGGGAGCGGGGUCACACCGACAAAUCUGAAGCGGGUUUGCCAGGGGAGUGUACCCGUCUCCCCAGCCUGGGCCACCCGGUCCACAGGGAUUCCAUUUCCGGCCUUACACUCCGCUCCACGAUCUCAUCCAGGCGCUGCAGCUGUGCAGCUGCUCUACAGACUGCAGGGACCUGCUGAGACGAAUCCCCGGACGAGGAAAGGGGCCCCCCGCCUGCCCUACUGAGCCUUGCGCGCUGACCCGGUUCCUACACUUAACUUUUCCGGCUUCGGGUUUAAGACGCGUGCGCGCACACUCCGCUGCUGUGGGCGGGCAUUGGGGCGGGGCGAUACCGGGGGCCCACUGUCUGGGGAGGGGCGCGCGCGAGCCCAGGGCCAACGGACGCGCGGGCGGCG
rnacentral:lncRNA from 1 species